UUGAUUCCUUUUUUCUGUUAGCUAAAGUUAGCGAACACAGAAGACAGAUAAUACUGCUAGGAAGCCCAGUAUCUUAUUGUAGCUACAUAUAGCCUAACUCUUCAAAUCACUAAAACAAAGGGGAGAAUGGAUUACAUGACAGCCUCAUCAUGCCUGUAGAUCAGUGACCAGGCUACCGGUCAGGAUUGACUGACACCACAGGGAUCCCCAGUGUUUCUACGAGACAACUGACCCUCAGCCAGGCUUGUUGGACCUCUUCUUGAAUGACCAGAGUGUGUCAGGUUUUGAACCCGCAACGUCUCUUUCCAAGACUUCAGUACAUUUUUAUGCUUAAUUUUUAAAUGUACAAUGUAUCUCUACUCUUUAACCCAAUUUCAAGAAAGUUUAGAUAGCAGGAAAAAUGUAAAUAAAAACACGACAAUGAUCUGCAAAUCUUUUUUGAACUGUA